rnacentral:rRNA from 1 species
UACGUAGGGGGCAAGCGUUGUCCGGAAUCAUUGAGCGUAAAGAGCGUGUAGGCGGUCCGGUAAGUCGGUUGUGAAAGUCCAGGGCUCAACCCUGGGAUGCCGAUCGAUACUGUCGGACUAGAGUUCGGAAGAGGCGAGUGGAAUUCCCGGUGUAGCGGUGAAAUGCGCAGAUAUCGGGAGGAACACCAAUGGCGAAGGCAGCUCGCUGGGACGUUACUGACGCUGAGACGCGAAAGCGUGGGGAGCAAACAGG